rnacentral:rRNA from 1 species
GACGAACGCUGGCGGCGUGCUUAACACAUGCAAGUCGAGCGGUAAGGCCCUUCGGGGUACACGAGCGGCGAACGGGUGAGUAACACGUGGGUGACCUGCCUCCUAGCUCUGGGAUAAGCCUGGGAAACUGGGUCUAAUACCGGAUAUGACUCCACGGCGCAUGUUGUGGGGUGGAAAGCCUUGUGUGGCUAGAGAUGGGCCCGCGGCCUAUCAGCUUGUUGGUGGGGUGAUGGCCUACCAAGGCGACGACGGGUAGCCGGCCUGAGAGGGCGACCGGCCACACUGGGACUGAGACACGGCCCAGACUCCUACGGGAGGCAGCAGUGGGGAAUCUUGCGCAAUGGGCGAAAGCCUGACGCAGCGACGCCGCGUGAGGGAUGACGGCC